rnacentral:rRNA from 1 species
GACGAACGCUGGCGGCGUGCUUAACACAUGCAAGUCGAACGGAAAGGCCCUGCUUGCAGGGUGCUCGAGUGGCGAACGGGUGAGUAACACGUGGGUGAUCUGCCCCUUACUUUGGGAUAAGCCUGGGAAACUGGGUCUAAUACUGGAUAGGACCAUGCUGUAGGUGGUGUGGUGGAAAGAUUAGUUUCGGAAAGGGAUGAGCUCGCGGCCUAUCAGCUUGUUGGUGGGGUAAUGGCCUACCAAGGCGUCGACGGGUAGCCGGCCUGAGAGGGUGGACGGCCACAUUGGGACUGAGAUACGGCCCAGACUCCUACGGGAGGCAGCAGUGGGGAAUAUUGCACAAUGGGCGCAAGCCUGAUGCAGCGACGCCGCGUGGGGGAUGACGGCCUUCGGGUUGUAAACUCCUUUCAGCCAUGACGAAGCCCUUGUGGUGACGGUAGUGGUAGAAGAAGCACCGGCUAACUACGUG